CCGACUGGUAACUACGCACUUUGUCCGAGCACAUUAUCACACGUGUCAUGCAAGCCAUCUUAAAUGACCCCCUAAAAUGUCAUUUGACAACCUAAAUAGCUGCCACUGUUGCCCGGCUGGCAACAGGGAAAAAAGGUUAAGCGAGAG